GCCUGGAUAGCUCAGCUGGUGAAAGUGUUGUGCUGAUAACGCCAAGGUUGCAGGUUUGAUCCCUGUGUGGGACA